UUUCUACUCCAUCCGUCCCAUAAUUUUUGUCUUAGAUUUGUCUAGAUAUAAAUGUAUCUAGUCACGUUUUGGUAUUUAGAUACAUCAACUUCUAGACAAAUCUAGGACAAGAAUUUUGGGACGGAGGGAGUAUGCU
rfam:Hordeum vulgare subsp. vulgare, WGS project CAJW01000000 data, contig: morex_contig_1135970